rnacentral:rRNA from 1 species
UACAGAGGGGGCAAGCGUUGUUCGGAAUUACUGGGCGUAAAGGGCGCGUAGGCGGCCUUCUAAGUCAGACGUGAAAUCCCUCGGCUCAACCGGGGAACUGCGUCUGAUACUGGGAGGCUUGAAUCCGGGAGAGGAAUGCGGAACUCCAGGUGUAGCGGUGAAAUGCGUAGAUAUCUGGAGGAACACCGGUGGCGAAGGCGGCAUUCUGGACCGGCAUUGACGCUGAGGCGCGAAAGCCAGGGGAGCAAACGGG